GACGAACGCUGGCGGCGUGCUUAACACAUGCAAGUCGAACGAAGUGGCGAACGGGUGAGUAACGCGUAAUCAACCUGCCCUUCAGAGGGGGACAACAGUUGGAAACGACUGCUAAUACCGCAUACUGAAGGAGGGGAUGGCGUCUGAUUAGCUAGUUGGAGGGGAAACGGCCCACCAAGGCGAUGAUCAGUAGCCGGUAUGAGAGGGUGAACGGCCAAAAUGGGACUGAGACACGGCCCAGACUCCUACGGGAGGCAGCAGUAGGGAAUCUUCGGCAAUGGAAGAAAGUCUGACGGAGCAACGCCGGGUGAGUGAGAACGGCUUUCGGGUUGUAAAGCUCUGUUAAUCGGGACGCGGUACCGGAAUAGAAAGCCACGGCUAACUACGUGCCAGCAGCCGCGGUAAUUC
rnacentral:rRNA from 1 species